CACGCAGUAGCUUAUUACAAGCACCCAGCUUACACCUGGAAGAAACCGCCCACCGGUCUGCUUGA
rnacentral:tRNA from 1 species